rnacentral:sRNA from 1 species
AUUUUUUUUUCAAUUUAAUUCAACAGUUAAAGGUCAACUUGAUGUGUGUAUCUAGAUCAGAAGAAAAUAUUCACAUUUCUUGCACUGCUACAAAAUUUUCCCGGAGGCUUGGUGCUCAUUUUCUUUAAUUAUCCGUUCUACUCGGGUGUUCCAUUCGUUUGCACCUGCCUCCAACUCAAUAUAUUGGCCUGCUGAUUCAUCUGAUGACUUAUUUUACUACAAUGCUUUCUGUGAGAUUUUUCAUAAGAUUACAUUGGAAACAGUUGGCAAUUAUACAGUACACGUUUCAAUGUUUCCGAGCAUUAAAAAUAAUAAUUAUCGUGUAAUUCAUGAAAUAAACAGAACUCUAAACAUCAAAUUCGAAAAACCAUCAGUCCGAUUUCAUUGUUGUCCAAAAGAAGUAGAAGAAGAUGUUAAUGUCAACUGUUCAUGUAAGAUGAAGGGCUAUGGAUCAAAAGGCGCCACCUACAGUUGGACCAAGACUGGUGAAAAAAACUUACUUUCAAACACAUCUCUUUUGACAUUUUCUACUGAAUACGACACAGCUUUUGUUUGUAAAGCAACAAGUGUCACGUUGAAUUUUACUAUAUUCCGAGUCUAUAACGUAACAGUAAGAACCAAAUUAA